UUUUGAGGUAGCCCUAUCUGUGCGCCCGCCCUGCCCCCCCCCUCUACACCCCUCCCCACGCACUGUCCAUCAUCGCCAUGUCCGCUGAGACCCUCGCGUGCACGUACGCCGCGCUCAUGCUGAGUGACGCCGGCCUGCCCACCUCGGCCGAGAACAUCGCCGCGGCGGUGAAGGCGGCCGGCGUCGAGAUGCGCCCCACCCUGCCCAUCAUCUUUGCCCGCUUCCUGGAGAAGAAGUCCGUGGAGACGCUGAUGGCGGCCGCCGCCGCGCAGGCCCCGACGGCCGCGUCCGCCCCGUCUCCGGCGGCGGGCGCCGCCUCCGCUGCAGCGGCCGGCGGCAAGGUGGAGGACAAGAAGAAGGACGAGCCUGAGGAGGAGGGCGACGACGACAUGGGUUUUGGUCUGUUCGACUGAGCGCCGUACGCGUCUUCUUGUGAGCUCGCGGGACAAUCUUCUGUUUUGGGUAUAGAGCGAGAGAGAAGGAGGGAAGAGGAAGGGGAAGCGCUGGCUGAUCCCUGCCUCGCCUCCAACUCCCCCUCCUCUGGUCCCGUGUCGAGUAGCGCGAGCUGAUUGUUGUCGCACCUGCUCGAUGAACGCCAUCGCAUCAAGGCGUCGCCGCGCGCGCGCGCGCCAGAACGCAACACCAGCCACCUUUCUCGCGGCCUCUCUUUCGCCCACAAGCAGAGGUGGCGCGCGGGACGCGAUGACCUCUUUAACGACGCCGAGCAUCAUCGCCAUCAAACGCACAGACGCAGCGACACACGCGGGCGUACGCGUACCUGUCGUGUCGCGUGCGAUGGCGAUGAUGCUCGGCGUCGUUAAAGAGGUCCUCGCGUCACCAUCGCGUCUUCGCUUCUUCGUUGGGUUUCUUUUCGUCAUUUCACCCCACCCACGC
rnacentral:misc_RNA from 1 species